CCGGCCGUGCCGGGGGGUGAGCCACCGGGAACGCGGGCGGGAGCGCACUGGCAGGCAGCUCUUCAGAGCAGAAAGGGUUGUACGGGCACUCACAGCAGCUCGGCUCACAGGACAGCACAGUUUCUGGAGUUUGCAGUUUGCAACCAGUUGCCUCUGAAUGUGGAACGGUUUUUGCGAUUCACAAAAGGACUGAGAUACCACAUUUUUAAAUAAAGAAACUGCACUGUCCUCUGUUCGUUCCCACUAAGAACAUAUGAGUUGUUACAAAAGAAAGCAAUGACUGUGCCAAUUUUUGCAUAGCGUCCAUUCAAGAGCCCAGUGUCUUCCACUACUCUUCUGUAG